GGAGUACAAAUAUUUCUUUUGGAGAGAUAAUUUGGAUAUUAGGGCAAUGGAGAGUGCAGGCCAAAAGUUUGUGGGGGAUCAUGAUUUCAGAAAUUUUUGUAAGAUGGAUGCAUUUAAUGUCCACAACUACAAGCGUCAUCUAACAUCCUUGAACUCUCUUCUUGUGAUAAGAGGUUGGAAAGUAAUGAACUGUGGUGUUUCAAAAUUAAGGGCAGUGCAUUUUUGUGGCAUUAAGUUCGUUGCAUGGUUGCUGUGAUUUUAUGGUUGGCCAAGGUCUUGAAUCUCCUGAUAUGGUCAAGCUGCUCUUGGAAUUGGUGCUAGUAAAGAGAGAGCUAAGAAGAGAAAGCUUGUGCAGAAAAAUGACAUUCAGAAGAAACGCAUGACUGACAAUAGAAAGCAAAUUAUUGCUGCUUCUAAGAGCAGGAAUGAUGAUGGCAAGCAAAUUAUUGCUACUUUUAAGAGACAUGGAUCGAAAAAGAAAGCUGCAAUACCUGAAAUAGGUAAUUCACAAUUAAGAAAGAGAACAAUUGUAAACAAGGGUUCACGGUCUGCCAUGGAAGAAAAUGGAGCAAAGAAGGUUCAAAUGGUCCAAAUAAACAAAAGCUUUCUGGAGAGUUGAAAAGCCCACCAGUAAAGCCAAAGAAAAGAGACCGUCAUGUGAAUGAUACACCAGUGUGCAUAAGUGGCACCGCCAGAGUGAAUUUCAGCAGGUUGAUCGGGUUUUGGGCUGUUGUGUUAGAGAGAAGCAGGACAGACAUCGACAUACUACUUCUGGCGAAAUCAACUUUGAUGCAGGAGAGAGGGCUGGACUUGCUGAUGACAGACAAGCUGAUAUAAGCAUUGACAGUGAUAUCAAACUGCACAAUCUGAAUGUUUUUCAGUGGUUAUUCUCUCAUUGGCUGGAAUUUUAAUGGUAAAGCUGGAGGAAGAGUCGAAAACUGUAAAACUUGGUUGACAACAUUUCAUCUUUCUUCUAUUGAGGUUGA